GACGAACGCUGGCGGCGUGCCUAAUACAUGCAAGUAGAACGCAGUUGCGAACGGGUGAGUAACGCGUAGGUAACUGCCUCAUAGCGGGGGAUAACUAUUGGAAACGAUAGCUAAUACCGCAUACUGUGCGAUGUACCUGCGUUGUAUUAGCUAGUUGGUGAGGUAAAGGCUCACCAAGGCGACGGUACAUAGCCGACCUGAGAGGAUGAUAGGCCACACGGGGACUGAGACACGGACCCGACUUCUAAGUGAGGCAGGAGUAGGGCAUCUUCGGCAAGGGACGGAAGUCUGACCGAGCAACGCCGCGUGAGCGAAGAAGGGUUUCGGAGCGUAAAGCUCUGUUGUUAGAGAAGCGGUAUCUAACCAGAAAGCAACGGCUAACUACGUGCCAGCAGCCGCGGUAAUUC
rnacentral:rRNA from 1 species